rnacentral:rRNA from 1 species
GACGGACGCUGGCGGCGCGCUUAACACAUGCAAGUCGAACGGAAAGGCCUGCUUUCCCUUGUGGAUUGCGGGUACUCGAGUGGCGAACGGGUGAGUAACACGUGAGUGAUCUGCCCCCAACUUGGGUAUAAGCCUGGGAAACUGGGUCUAAUUCCCGAUAGGACUGCAGGGUGGUGCCUGUGGUGGAAAACGAUUUUCUAGUGGUUGGGGAUGAGCUCGCGGCCUAUCAGCUUGUUGGUGGGGUAAUGGCCUACCAAGGCGGCGACGGGUAGCCGGCCUGAGAGGGUGGACGGCCACAUUGGGAAUGAGAUACGGCCCAGAGUCCUACGGGAGGCAGCAGUGGGGAAUAUUACACAAUGGGCGGAAGCCUGAUGCAGCGACGCCGCGUGGGGGAUGGCGGCCUUCGGGUUGUAAACUCCUUUCGACCGCGAGGAAGCCACCUGGUUGGAAGGGUGGUGACGGUAGUGGUAGAAGAAGCACCGGCUAACUACGUG